rnacentral:rRNA from 1 species
GAUGAACGCUGGCGGCGUGCCUAAUACAUGCAAGUCGAGCGAACGGACGAGAAGCUUGCUUCUCUGAUGUUAGCGGCGGACGGGUAAGUAACACGUGGAUAACCUACCUAUAAGACUGGGAUAACUUCGGGAAACCGGAGCUAAUACCGGAUAAUAUUUUGAACCGCAUGGUUCAAAAGUGAAAGACGGUCUUGCUGUCACUUAUAGAUGGAUCCGCGCUGCAUUAGCUAGUUGGUAAGGUAACGGCUUACCAAGGCAACGAUGCAUAGCCGACCUGAGAGGGUGAUCGGCCACACUGGAACUGAGACACGGUCCAGACUCCUACGGGAGGCAGCAGUAGGGAAUCUUCCGCAAUGGGCGAAAGCCUGACGGAGCAACGCCACGUGAGUGAUGAAGGUCUUCGGAUCGUAAAACUCUGUUAUUAGGGAAGAACAUAUAUGUAAGUAACUGUGCACAUCUUGACGGUACCUAAUCAGAAAGCCACGGCUAACUACGUG